GCUACAGUGCUACUGGCCCAUAAUCAGGCAACUGCAGAGUCUUAGGGGGUUAUCUAAUGUAGUCUUGGGGUGGCUGGAUAGACUUCCCAAAGAAGGUGAUGCCGAAGCUGAGGUCGGAAAUUACGAAGAUCAGCUAUAUUGUGCCUGCAGCCUGGCCUGUUGCCCACAGCGGUCUACCUGCCACACUGGGAAAGAUCGAGCAGAGACAGAGAAGAAAAGGAGGCUCCAUUUUUCAGGCUGCUCUCCCGCAGGCUCAUGUUUUGUGUUCAUGCCAGGCAGAGAACACAAAAUGUUCCAAUAAAUAAGUAUCAAAGAGAAACAUCAUCAGUGGUGUAGAAGAGCUCAGGGAAGCAAGGAGGGCUGCUGUGAAUGACACCAUGAAUUUCUGAAUGUGAUGUCCCUUCAAUUCAUGAGGAAUGAAGCAACGAUAUCUCCUAAAACACCAGGGUAAGUGAUGGGGAGACCACAAAUUAUAUUAUGUAUCUAUUGGGUAAUAUUUCGCACCCUUAAGGACAGAGACUAGUGAAGGAAGAAGAGAACUAUUUCACCCCUACAACACCUAGGAACAUCAGCCAAAUGUAAACUGGUGGAUCACGUCAUUUUACAGUGAAAAUAGCCCCUGAUGUAAGGGGUCCAUUAAUGUAGGAGAUACAAAAUUACAUCAGGAGAUCUUGAGUUCCAAUAUCCCUUGACCACCAUUCCCUCUCAAUCCUCUGACCUUGAACAUUUCUCUUCUAGUUAUAUUGAAAAGUAUCCCAUAUACCUUAUCUAAUUUAAUCUUCUCAACAGCUUUAUGAGUUUGGUAUUCUCCUUCUCAUUUUACAAAUUAGAAAAUUACUGCUCAAAUAGUUUAAGUGUAUGUUAUCCAAAUGUACCAAGUGACAGAACUGGAACUUCCACACAGGUCUUUCUUGCCAACAAGCCAUACAAAAGCUUUACCCUAAAAUAAACUAUCUCUGGAAGCUUCGAAUUAGAAUGCACCUCUAAGGGGUAAAACUUAAUUCACUAAUGAGGAAGAGAAUUUUCUAGAAACCUCUCAGGGAUGGAAAGAAUUAAUUCUAAGCCCAAUUCCCUCAAUAUCUAAACAUCUUGGAAAUGAGAUACUUUAAAGCUGUUUUUGUUCUCUAGGGUGCUAUUUAGUGCCUGAAGAAAUAAUCCACUAAAAGUGUCUUACCUCACUAAACUACUAGUAGCUUUCCAACAAAUAAUCAAAACACUCCAUGUGCCCAAAGAUGAAUUCAAUCAUCAGGCAAGCUACAGAGAAUAAAUAGAAAUAUAAUUCU
ensembl:lncRNA CCDC26 CCDC26 long non-coding RNA